GGCUGGUACACAGAGCACCCGGACUUGAUAAGCAGUCUGGCUCUGAAUUCAAACUCCCAGCACCCCGGAUGCAAUGGCUCUCCUCCCUGAAUUUCACCCUGGACCACCCCCUGCACAUGAUUCUGAGGUCAGACACGGCGGAGAGGACAGCAUUCCCAAGGGUUCAGCCUUGUCUCUCAAACCCCCAAACUUCUGCAUGUCCUACCUGCAGGUUCCUACUUACAAGUGAAAGUGAAGUGAAAGUGGCUCACUCCUGUCCGACUCUUUGCGACCCCAUGGACUAUAGAGUCCAUGGAAUUCUCCAGGCCAGAAUACUGAAGUGGGCAGCCUUUCCCUUCUCCAGGGGAUCUUCCUACUUACAAGGGCUUGGAUAAAAAUGUGGAAAUAGGUAUUACCAUAUGUAAAAUAGAUAGCCAGUGGGAAUUUACUGUGUGACUCAGGGAACUCAAAACGGUCUCAGUAACAACCUAGAAGGGUGGGAUGGGGAGAGAGGUUGGAGGGAGGUUCAAGUGGGAGGGGACAUGGGUAAACUGUGGCUGAUUCAUGUUGAUGUUUGGUGGAAACCAGUGC
rnacentral:lncRNA from 1 species